rnacentral:rRNA from 1 species
GAUGAACGCUAGCGGCAGGCCUAACACAUGCAAGUCGAGGGAGAAGCCCUUUCGGGGGCAGAAACCGGCGCACGGGUGCGUAACGCGUAUGCAACCUACCUUUCACAGGGGGAUAGCCCGAAGAAAUUUGGAUUAAUACCCCAUAAUAUUAUUGGAUGGCAUCAUUUGAUAAUUAAAACUGCGGUGGUGAAAGAUGGGCAUGCGUCCUAUUAGCUAGUUGGAGUGGUAACGGCACCCCAAGGCUACGAUAGGUAGGGGUCCUGAGAGGGAGAUCCCCCACACGGGUACUGAGACAGGGACCAGACUCCUACGGGAGGCAGCAGUGAGGAAUAUUGGUCAAUGGUCGGAAGACUGAACCAGCCAUGCCGCGUGCAGGAAGAAUGCCUUAUGGGUUGUAAACUGCUUUUAUAUGGGAAGAAUAAGGUGUACGUGUACAUUGAUGACGGUACCAGAUGAAUAAGCAUCGGCUAACUCCGUG